rnacentral:rRNA from 1 species
UACAGAGGGUGCGAGCGUUGUUCGGAAUUAUUGGGCGUAAAGGGCGCGUAGGCGGCGCCACAAGUCACUUGUGAAAACUCUGGGCUCAACUCAGAGCCUGCAAGCGAAACUGUGGUGCUGGAGUAUGGGAGAGGUGCGCGGAAUUCCCGGUGUAGCGGUGAAAUGCGUAGAUAUCGGGAAGAACACCCGUGGCGAAGGCGGUUCUCUGGGACGGUACUGACGCUGAGACGCGAAAGCGUGGGGAGCGAACAGG